ACAUGCAGGGAAAACUCGUAGAGAUACGGGGUCCUUUUGGGCCUUGCACAGGUGGUGCAUGGCUGUCGUCAGCUCGUGUCGUGAGAUGUUGGGUUAAGUCCCGCAACGAGCGCAACCCUCGUCCUAUGUUGCCAGCGAGUAAUGUCGGGGACUCAUAGGAGACUGCCGGGGUCAACUCGGAGGAAGGUGGGGAUGACGUCAAGUCAUCAUGCCCCUUAUGUCCAGGGCUGCAAACAUGCUACAAUGGCCGGUACAAAGAGCUGCGAUACCGCAAGGUGGAGCGAAUCUCAUAAAGCCGGUCUCAGUUCGGAUUGGGGUCUGCAACUCGACCCCAUGAAGUCGGAGUCGCUAGUAAUCGCAGAUCAGCAACGCUGCGGUGAAUACGUUCCCGGGCC
rnacentral:rRNA from 1 species